CAUUAUCGAGUUUAUUCAACUCCCAAACCCUAUGUGAACUUACCACUUGUUGCUUCGGCGGCGCUCUCGGGCGUCGCCGAGGGUAUCAAACUCUUUUUGUUUUUACAGCAUUAUCUGAGUGGCCGCAAGGCAAAAAACAAAUGAAUCAAAACUUUCAACAACGGAUCUCUUGGUUCUGGCAUCGAUGAAGAACGCAGCGAAAUGCGAUAAGUAAUGUGAAUUGCAGAAUUCAGUGAAUCAUCGAAUCUUUGAACGCACAUUGCGCCCGCCAGCAUUCUGGCGGGCAUGCCUGUUCGAGCGUCAUUUCAACCCUCGAGCCCGACUCUUCGGAGGACGGCUCGGCGUUGGGGACCGGCAGACUGCCCCCCGCCUCCGGGCGAGGGACGCCGCCCCCGAAAUCUAGUGGCGGCCCUCCGCGGCGACCUCUGCGUAGUAACUCACCUCGCACUGGGAAGAACGGAGCGGCCACGCCGUAAAACACCCAACUUUUUCAAGGUUGACCUCGAAUCAGGUAGGACUACCCGCUGAACUUAAGCAUAUCAAUAAGCGGAGGAAAAGAAACCAACAGGGAUUGCCCCAGUAACGGCGAGUGAAGCGGCAACAGCUCAAAUUUGAAAUCUGGUCCCCAGGGCCCGAAUUGUAAUUUGUAGAGGAUGCUUUUGGCAAGGUGCCUUCCGAGUUCCCUGGAACGGGACGCCAUAGAGGGUGAGAGCCCCGUCUGGUCGGAUACCGCGCCUCUGUAAAGCUCCUUCGACGAGUCGAGUAGUUUGGGAAUGCUGCUCAAAAUGGGAGGUAUAUGUCUUCUAAAGCUAAAUAUUGGCCAGAGACCGAUAGCGCACAAGUAGAGUGAUCGAAAGAU
rnacentral:rRNA from 1 species